AACGAACGCUGGCGGCAGGCUUAACACAUGCAAGUCGAACGGUAACAGGAAACAGCUUGCUGUUUCGCUGACGAGUGGCGGACGGGUGAGUAAUGUCUGGGAAACUGCCUGAUGGAGGGGGAUAACUACUGGAAACGGUAGCUAAUACCGCAUAACGUCGCAAGACCAAAGAGGGGGACCUUCGGGCCUCUUGCCAUCGGAUGUGCCCAGAUGGGAUUAGCUAGUAGGUGGGGUAACGGCUCACCUAGGCGACGAUCCCUAGCUGGUCUGGGGGGAUGACCAGCCACACUGGAACUGAGACACGGUCCAGACUCCUACGGGAGGCAGCAGUGGGGAAUAUUGCACAAUGGGCGCAAGCCUGAUGCAGCCAUGCCGCGUGUAUGAAGAAGGCCUUCGGGUUGUAAAGUACUUUCAGCGGGGAGGAAGGGAGUAAAGUUAAUACCUUUGCUCAUUGACGUUACCCGCAGAAGAAGCACCGGCUAACUCCGUGCCAGCCGCCGCGGUAA
rnacentral:rRNA from 1 species